AAAUUGAAGAGUUUGAUCAUGGCUCAGAUUGAACGCUGGCGGCAGGCCUAACACAUGCAAGUCGAGCGGUAGCACAGAGAGCUUGCUCUCGGGUGACGAGCGGCGGACGGGUGAGUAAUGUCUGGGAAAUUGCCUGAUGGAGGGGGAUAACUACUGGAAACGGUAGCUAAUACCGCAUA
rnacentral:rRNA from 1 species